rnacentral:rRNA from 1 species
CUACGUGCCAGCAGCCGCGGUAAUACGGAGGGUGCGAGCGUUAAUCGGAAUAACUGGGCGUAAAGGGCACGCAGGCGGUGACUUAAGUGAGGUGUGAAAGCCCCGGGCUUAACCUGGGAAUUGCAUUUCAUAUUGGGUCGCUAGAGUACUUUAGGGAGGGGUAGAAUUCCACGUGUAGCGGUGAAAUGCGUAGAGAUGUGGAGGAAUACCGAAGGCGAAGGCAGCCCCUUGGGAAUGUACUGACGCUCAUGUGCGAAAGCGUGGGGAGCAAACAGGAUUAGAUACCCUGGUAGUCCACGCUGUAAACGAUGUCGAUUUGGGGGUUGAGCUUUAAGCUUGGCGCCCGUAGCUAACGUGAUAAAUCGACCGCCUGGGGAGUACGGCCGCAAGGUUAAAACUCAAAUGAAUUGACGGGGGCCCGCACAAGCGGUGGAGCAUGUGGUUUAAUUCGAUGCAACGCGAAGAACCUUACCUACUCUUGACAUCCAGAGAACAUUC